AGCCUAAGGGUGCCCUGAUCCAAGGCCUGCUUUUUGAAAAGGUUCUAAGAUGAAUAAAAGAAAGAAGACACAAAUAUCAGAAGAAAACCAGGAGCUCAAUACAUCCAAAGCAAAGAAAACCCUUAAAAGGAAGACCCAGUGGGCAAGAGAGCGUGAUCUAGAAAAGCCAGUAGAGGUUUCUGACUCUAGUAAUACCCUUUCAAAAGCAACUGUAGUUGAAGUGGUUCAAGAAUGUCAAGAACAUGGCCUGGACAGCCCAGAGAUCAAAA